GAUGAACGCUGGCGGCGUGCCUAAUACAUGCAAGUCGAGCGAACAGACGAGGAGCUUGCUCCUCUGACGUUAGCGGCGGACGGGUGAGUAACACGUGGAUAACCUACCUAUAAUACUGGGAUAACUUCGGGAAACCGGAGCUAAUACCGGAUAAUAUAUUGAACCGCAUGGUUCAAUAGUGAAAGACGGUUUUGCUGUCACUUAUAGAUGGAUCCGCGCCGCAUUAGCUAGUUGGUAAGGUAACGGCUUACUAAGGCAACGAUGCGUAGCCGAGCUGAGAGGGUGAUCGGCCACCCUGGAACUGAGCCACGGACCAGAGUACUACGGGAGGCAGCAGUAGGGAAUCGUACGCAACGGUCGAAAGCCUGACGGAGCAACGCCGAGUGAGUGAUGAAGGCCUUCGGAUCGUAAAAAUCUGUUAUUAGGGAAGAACCAAUGUGUAAGUAACCAUGCACGUCUUGACGGUACCUAAUAAGAAAGCAACGGCUAACUACGUG
rnacentral:rRNA from 1 species